ACGUUAGCGGCGGACGGGUGAGUAACACGUGGGUAACCUACCUAUAAGACUGGGAUAACUUCGGGAAACCGGAGCUAAUACCGGAUAAUAUUUCGAACCGCAUGGUUCGAUAGUGAAAGAUGGUUUUGCUAUCACUUAUAGAUGGACCCGCGCCGUAUUAGCUAGUUGGUAAGGUAACGGCUUACCAAGGCGACGAUACGUAGCCGACCUGAGAGGGUGAUCGGCCACACUGGAACUGAGACGCGGUCCAGACUCCUACGGGAGGCAGCAGAG
rnacentral:rRNA from 1 species